rnacentral:lncRNA from 1 species
GCUGAUGUGGAAAAUACUAAUCCAUGCAUUAUAAGAUCUGACAUGAGUCAGCAACGUCUGAACUGUCUCACACCCAUCAGGACAGGACAGGCAGCAUUCCAUUCCAUGUACCUGUAGGUUAGGUGAUACAAAAAGGAAGAUGUGGAUCACUAACAUAAAAAUUGAUUGGUCAAAAUGAGAAUGACAUGAUAAUGGGCCAAUGGGGAAAAGUAGGUGGGAGGUGGGUACACUCUAGACUGACAGCGAACCGAAUGACACAAACAUGAACGAGAUGCGGUGUAGACAAGAAUAACAUUUCUGUCUUCAGUGGCAAACAAAAAUCCACAAUCGAACUUGGAAAUGCCAAGCCUUCUGGAGCAACCUGAAAGUGUCGUGAUGGAUCACUUUCCUAAGAAGAGGCCCCUGUCUGAAGGGAGCGAUGUGAACUCUCCCAGCAACACAGACAGUUCUUCUGAUAGAUGCCCUCCUGAGGAGGACGUGCCUGCUACAUCAAACAUAUCCCAGAGUGAGGAGAACGAGAACCACCAAUGUAAGAAGAGGCACCUAUCGCUGUCUGAGGAUCCUGUGUACCAUGAGGAUGAUGUGAACCCCGACACAAACGUUUUUUCGAACGGAGGGCCUCCUGAGGAGGAUAUGGAUGCUACAUCAACCAGAUCCCACAGUGAGGGGAUUGAGAUCCACCAGAGAGGAAGCCCCAGUCCUGUGAACAUCAACUUUCCAGACCAGUCAAUGGACCUCCCAAAUCAAGAAGGAAACGAAUUAUGUGAUACAAUUUACCUUUUACAAACAAAAGUUUGCAAUCAAAAGAUGAAUGCUAAAUAUACAUGGGCAUUCUUAAAGUCAACUGCUGAUGUGUUUGUUGCAAUUUUGGAACCUAACAAUAUAGAGAAUAUGGAAAACAAACCUCUUAUUAGUCAUACCGAAGAGUUACUUCUUGAGGAAGUGAAAAUAACGUUGGAAAACAAAGAGCAAUUGCAAAAUACAAAAUGUUCUAUGUAUUCGCUCAACGCUCCUUCGCAAAUUACAGGUCAUACAAUAACGGAUUUAGCAGAACUGAACAAGUAUGGCAUAACAACGAUUUUUACGGACUGUCCGACGGAAAACCAAAACAUCCCAAAUCAUUUUGAAAACGUUCCUGAAUUUCUUGAUAAGUACUACUCAUUACAAACAAAAGGUUGCAAACAAAAGUUUGAUACGCAACAUGCAUGGGCAUUUAUCGAGUCACCUUGUGGCGGAGAACCGGUUUUUGUUGGUUUAUUUAAAUUAGAAGAUUGCAAGAAGAUGUGCAAGGGCAAACCUUUAAAUAUUCAUACCGAAAAGUUACUUCUUGAGGAAGUAAAACAAAUAUUGAAAAACAAUGAGAAAUUGCGGAAUACUAAACUGUUUAUCUAUACGCUCAACUCUCCUUGUUUGCAAAAUUCAGGUCAUGAGUCAUGCAUGGAUUUACUGAUUAAGGAUUCAGCAGAACUGUACAAAUCUUAUAGUAUAAAAACUAUUGUUGGAUAUAGCAAAUGGUACGGUUCGACUGGACAGGUGACAACCUUUAUAGAUCCAUAUAUCAGCUCAUUCAAUCACUUUAAUUUGAUAAUCAGUAGUUCUAAUUAUGCGAACUAUUGUGAUGAAUUUGUAAUUUUUAACACUGAGCAUAACAAUAAGAAAAGCCGUGACUCUAAAUCUAAUUUUGAAGACAGCGCACUUCCCGAGCAACUUUAUAUUUUGAGUAAACAAUUUCUGCCCAAAAACAUUUCAGAAGUACCUUUCAGAUUGAAAAAGUUUAAAGACAUCCAUAAGCGUGUGACAAAUAAAUUUAUGUCAAUUAGCAAUUAUGAUAAAAAAAAUGUGAAAACUGAUAAGAAGAAAGAGAAAAGUCUUGACCUAGAUUUUUCCAUACCCCAUUUUGGAACUCUAAAUGAAUUCCAAGAAGUUGGAGAGUCUCUAGCUGAAAAAUUUGACUUGGUAAAACACAUUGGUAAUAACUUAGAUCAAUCUAAAGUAAAUUUCAUAAAAUGGUGGACUAAAACAAUUGCGGACGAAUAUACUACUUUUCUUCGAGAAGACAUUAAUAGACGACUUAGUGAAGAUAAACACAGAAUCGCAGUCCUCGAUCACAUCAGGAAUAACACUGCAGGAUAUUUACAGUUUUGUCACUUACCACUAAGCCCUUUCCACAAACUAUUUAAUUAAUACAUGCAGCAUAUUCAUUUGAGGUUGUGAGCUAAAGAUCAUUUUAUAUAUAUAUUUGAAUAAAUCAAAUUGUAUUGGUCAUACACAUGGUUAGCAUAUAUUAAUGUGAGUGUAGGGAAAUGCUUGUACUUCUAGUUCCGACUAUGCAGUAAUAUCUAACAAAUUCCCAACAACUACCUUAUACACACAAAGGUAAAGGGAUGAAUAGAAUAUGUACGCAUAAAUAUAUGGAUGAGUAAUGUGAGAGCGGCAUAGGCUUCGAUGCAACUGAUAGUAUAGAAUACACUAUAUACAUAUGAGAUGAGUAAUGUAGGAUAUGUAAACAUUAUUAAAGUGGCGUUAUUUAAAGUGACUAGUGAUACUCGGGAGAGGCAAAGGUCGAGAGCCAUGCGUCCUCCGAAACACAACCCAACCAAGCCGCACUGCUUCUUGACACAAUUUAACAGUCUGAUGGCCUUGAGAUAGGAGCUGUUUUUCAGUCUCUUGGACCCAGCUUUGAUGCACCUGUACUGACCUCGCCUUCUGGAUGAUAGCGGGGUGAACAGGCAGUGGCUCGGGUGGUUGUUGUCCUUGAUGAUUUUUUGGCCUUCCUGUAACAUUGGGUGCUUUAGCUGUCCUGCAGGGCAGGUAGUUUGCACCCAGUGAUGCGUUGUGCAGACCGCACUACCCUCUGGAGAGCCUUGCUGUUGAGGGCGGUGCAAUUGCCGUACCAGAUGGUGAUACAGCCCGACAGGAUGCUCUCGAUUGCGCAUCUAAAAGUUUUUGAGUGUUUUUGGUGACAACCCAAAUUUCUACAGCCUCCUGAGGUUGAAGAGGCGCUGUUGCGCCUUCUUCACCACCCUAUCUGUCUGUGUGGGUGGACCAUUUCAGUUUGUCCAUGAUGUGUACGCCGAGAAACUUAAAACAGACCCUCUGCUGUGGGAGAUCACACCUACUGACCCAAGGUGGUUGAGAAUGGUUAUGGGAGCUGGACACGCAGCGACUCAGACCCUCUGCUGUGGGAGAUCACACCUACUGACCCAAGGUGGCUGAGAAUGGUUAUGGGAGCUGGACACGCAGCGACUCAGACCCUCUGCUGUCAGAGAUCACGCCUACUGACCCAAGGUGGCUAAGAAUGGUUAUGGGAGCAGGACACACAGCGACCCAGACCCUCUGCUGUGGGAGAUCACACCUACUGACCCAAGGUGGUUGAGAAUGUUUAUGGGAGCAGGACACGCAGCGACUCAGACCCUCUGCUGUGGGAGAUCACACCUACUGACCCAAGGUGGUUGAGAAUGGUUAUGGGGGCUGGAUAUCAUAAUGAUGUCUCCACUCCCCCAAUGGUGAAUUGCUGUACUCUAAACAUAUGCUUUAAUACUAAUAAAAAUAUAAUUGAUUUAAAAAAUUUAGUUUCCUCAUUUAACGCUGUAUGUGGAUUUUUUGUAUAUUCAGCUGUGGCCAAAAGUUUUCAAAAUGACACAAAUAUACAUUUUCACUAAGUCUGCUGCCUCAGUUUGUAUGAUGGCAAUUUGCAUAUACUCCAGAAUGUUAUGAAGAGUGAUCAGAUGAAUUGCAAUUAAUUGCAAAGUCCCUCUUUGCCAUGCAAAUGAACUGAAUCCCAAAAAACAUUUUCACUGCAUUUCAGCCCUGCCACAAAAGAACCAGCUGACAUCAUGUCAGUGAUUCUCUCAUUAACACAGGUGUGAGUGUUGACGAGGACAAGGCUGGAGAUCACUCUGUCAUGCUGAUUGAGUUCGAAUAACAGACUGGAAGCUUCAAAAGGAGGGUGGUGCUUGGAAUCAUUGUUCUUCCUUUGUCAACCAUGGUUACCUGCAAGGAAGCACGUGCCAUCAUCAUUGCUUUGCACAAAAAUGGCUUCACAGGCAAGGAAAUUGCUGCCAGUAAGAUUGCACCUAAAUCAACUAUUUAUCGGAUCAUCAAGAACUUCAAGGAAAACGGUUCAAUUGUUGUGAAGAAGGCUUUAGGGCGCCCAAGAAAGUCCAGCAAGCUUCAGGAGCAUCUCCUAAAGUUGAUUCAGCUGCGGGAUCGGGGCACCACCAGUACAGAGCUAUCUAUCAUUUUACUGAUUGAUAAAUACAAUAGGUCCUGGUAGGGGGGAAAAAAGUUACGUAAUCAAUACAAUUUUUUUCAAGUAGAAAGGAACAGUCAAGCUUCAGUAACUGUCAAAAGGGAAGUUCAAGAAAUAGUUUUUUGCUAAAAAGCUAUUUGUUUCUUUUUGACAAUUUUUAAAGCAAACUAUUACUUAUUAGUAUUUAUGCUGCAAUAGUUUGUGUUGGGGGCUAGGGAUAGUCUGUUAUAUUUGGAGUACUUCUCGUCUUAUCCGGUGUACUGUGUGAAUUUAAGUAUGCUCGCUCUAAUUCUCUCUUUCUCUUUCUUUCUUUCUCUCUGUCGGAGGACCUGAGCCCAAGGACCAUGCCUCAGGACUACCUGGCCUGAUGACUCCUUGCUGUCCCCAGUCCACCUGGUCAUGCUACUGCUCCAGUUUCAACUGUUCUGCCUGCGGCUAUGGAACCCUGACCUGUUUACUGGAUGUGCUACUUUGUCCCGGACCUGACUCUCUCUCUACUGCACCUGCUGUCUCUAACUCUGAAUGAUGGGCUAUGAAAAGCCAACUGACAUUUACUCCUGAGGUGCUGACCUGUUGCACCCUCUACAACCACUGUGAUUAUUAUUAUUUGGCCCUGCUGGUCAUCUAUGAACAUUUGAACAUCUUGGCCAUGUUCUGUUAUAAUCUCCACCCGGUACAGCCAGAAGAGGACUGGCCACCCCUCAUAGCCUGGUUCCUCUCUAGGUUUCUUCCUAGGUUCUGGCCUUUCUAGGGAGUUUUUCCUAGCCACCGUGCUUCUACACCUGCAUUCCUUGCUGUUUGGGGUUUUAGGCUGGGUUUCUGUACAACCCUUUGUGAAUACAUUUGAUUUAUUGAAUACACUUCGGCAUGUACUUCAAUGUUAUCAAGAAUUUAUUUGAAAAGCUAUUGAAAUAAAAACAGCUGCAUUGAAUAGAAUUUCACUAAACAAUUAUUAGUUACUAGUUAUUGGCAACAAGGUAAUAAAUACAUAAUUGAAAACUACUGAUAAAGAUUUAUUUUCUUUAUUAGUAGCAUUGUUAUUGGUAUAAGACUGGAGUGAGUGAGUAGUCGUGCUGUACUUCGCUCCGCGGGUAAUAUUACAUUUCAUUACAUUACAAUGGAACGAUUUGAUUAGUGUAAUGUUAGCUAGCUAGCUACAUAGUUGUCUUUGCUGUCUUUGUAUCAAGGAUAAAGGUGUAGCUAAAGGUGUAGCUUUGAGAAACUAACUUUGAGAAACUAACAAGGUUAGCUAGCCAGCUGUAUUCGUUCGCAGUUUUCCAAAUGGCGUCAACACCACAACACCACAGCCACUGCUAGCUAGCCAACUUUACCAACUAGCAGUACUGUGGAAACUAAAUACAUUACAACGGAACGAUUUGAUUAGUGUAAUGUUAGCUAGCUACAUAGUUGUCUUUGUAUCAAAGAUAAAGGUAAACGCAGCCACUGCUAGCUAGCCAACUCUACCAGCUAGCAGUACUGUAUCAUUUUUAGUCAAUAAGAUUUUUGCAAUGUUAGCUUAACUUUCUGAACUUUCGAGUUGUGUAGUCCACUUGUGUAGCUAGCAGGUCUGACUUUGUGUUAGCUAGCCAACGUUUAAUUACUUCUGCGUUAUGAAAGGAACUAGUCACGGACACGAAUGAUACAUUGGUAGUUUGUUGUAACCAAGUAUUGGUGCUAACCGCGUGUUAUUGGAUGCUAGCAUGCUAGUUAGCUAAGGCGUCAUAGGAUACGGUGCACUGGGUGGGUUUCACGGAAGAAGACUGUACCAAGUUAUCUAGCUGAAUAAACUAGGUUUGAGCCUAUUCCUGGAAACAUUGAACCACUGUAGUUUACAUCAAUUAUAAUUUCUAAAGUGGAAGUUGGAAAAGUUAUGUUUGAGUGUUUCAGUGAAUGGUUAGUGAGGGAGGCCCUGCUCUCUAACUUCCCCAGUUGUUUAGUUAAUUUUCAUUCCAAUCUCCUUUGCAUUAGCGUAGCCUCUCCUGUAGCCUGUCAACUAUGUGUCUGUCUAUCCCUGUUCUCUCCUCUCUGCACAGGCCACACAAACGCUUCACACCGCAUGGCCGCUGCCACUCUAACCUGGUGGUCCCAGCGCGCACGACCCCCUUGGAGUUGAAGGUCUCCGGCAGCCUCUGGAAUUGCCGGUCUGCGGCCAACAAGGCAGAGUUCAUCUCAGCCUAUGCUACCCUCCAGUCCCUCAACUUCUUGGCGCUGACGGAAACAUGGAUUACCACAGAAAACACUGCUACUCCUACUGCUCUCUCCUCGUCUGACCACGUGUUCUCGCAUACCCCGAGAGCAUCUGGUCAGCAGGGUGGUGGCACUGGAAUCCUCAUCUCUCCCAAGUGGACAUUCUCUCUUUCUCCCCUGACCCAUCUCCUCCUUUGAACUCCAUGCUGUCGAAGUCACUAGCCCAUUCAAGCUUAACAUCCUUAUCAUUUAUCGCCCUCCAGGUUCCCUUGGAGAGUUCAUCAAUGAGCUUGACGCCUUGAUAAGUUCCUUUCCUGAGGAUGGCUCACCCCUCACAAUUCUGGGUGACUUUAACCUCCCUACGUCUACCUUUGACUAAUUUCUCUCUGCCUCCUUCUUUCCACUCCUCUCCUCUUUUGACCUCACCCUCUCACCGUCCCCCCUACUCACAAGGCAGGCAAUACGCUUGACCUCAUCUUUACUAGAUGCUGUUCUUCCACUAAUCUCACUGCAACUCCCCUCCAAGUCUCCGACCACUACCUUGUAUCCUUUUCCCUCUCGCUCUCCUCCAACACUACUCACUCUGCCCCUACUCAGACGGUAUUGCGCCGUCGCAACCUUCGCUCUCUCUCUCCUGCUACUCUCACCUCUUCCAUCCUAUCAUCUCUUCCCUCUGCUCAAUCCUUCUCCAACCAAUCUCCUGAUUCUACCUCCUCAACCCUCCUCUCCUCCCUUUCUGCAUCCUUUGACUCUCUAUGUCCCCUUUCCUCCCAGCCGGCUCGGUCCUCCCCUCCUGCUCCGUGGCUUGACGACUCAUUGCGAGCUCACAGGACAGGGCUCCGGGCAGCCGAGCGGAAAUGGAGGAAAGCUAGCCUCCCUGCGGACCUGGCAUCUUUUCACUCCCUCCUCUCUACAUUUUCUUCCUCUGUUUCUGCUGCUGAAGCCACUUUCUACCACUCUAAAUUCCAAGCAUCUGCCUCUAACCCUAGGAAGCUCUUUGCCACCUUCUCCUCCCUCCUGAAUCCUCCUCCCCCUCCCCCCAUCCUCCCUCUCUGCGGAUGACUUCGUCAACCAAUUUUGAAAAGAUGGUUGACGACAUCCGAUCCUCGUUUGUUAAGUCAAACAACAGCGCUGGUCCUGCUCACAUUACCCUACCCUAUGCUUUGACCUCUUUCUCCCCUCUCUCUCCAGAUGAAAUCUUGCGACUUGUGACGGCCGGCCGCCCAACAACCUGCCCGCUUGACCCUAUCCCCUCCUCUCUUCUCCAGACCAUUUCCGGAGACCUUCUCCCUUACCUCACCUCGCUCAUCAACUCAUCCUUGAACGCUGGCUACGUCCCUUCUGUCUUCAAGAGAGCGAGAGUUGCACCCAUUCUCAAAAAACCUACACUCGAUCCCUCCGAUGUCAACAACUACAGACCAGUAUCCCUUCUUUCUUUUCUCUCCAAAACUCUUGAGCGUGCCGUCCUUGGCCAGCUCUCUUGCUAUCUCUCUCAGAAUGACCUUCUUGAUCCAAAUCAGUCAGGUUUCAAGACUGGUCAUUCAACUGAGACUGCUCUUCUCUGUGUCACGGAGGCUCUCCCCACUACUAAAGCUAACUCUCUCUCCUCUGCUCUCAUCCUUCUAGACCUAUCUGCUGCCUUUGAUACUGUGAACCAUCAGAUCCUCCUCUCCACCCUCUCCGAGUUGGGCAUCUCCGGCGUGGCUCACUCUUGGAUUGCGUCCUACCUGACAGGUCGCUCCUACCAGGUGGCGUGGUAGGAGCGAGGUUCUAGGCCCUCUCCUAUUCUCGCUAUACACCAAGUCACUUGGCUCUGUCAUAUCCUCACAUGGUCUCUCCUAUCAUUGCUACGCAGAUGACACACAAUUAAUCUUCUCCUUUCCACCUUCUGAUAACCAGGUGGCGAAUCGCAUCUCUGCAUGUCUGGCAGACAUAUCAGUGUGGAUGACGGAUCACCACCUCAAGCUGAACGUCGGAAAGACGGAGCUGCUCUUCCUCCCAGGGAAGGACUGCCCGUUCCAUGAUCUCGCCAUCACGGUUGACAACUCCAUUGUGUCCUCCUCCCAGAGUGCUAAGAGCCUUGGCGUGACCCUGGACAACAGCCUGUCAUUCUCCGCUAACAUCAAGGCGGUUCAUGCUCUACAACAUUCGCAGAGUACGACCCUGCCUCACACAGGAAGCGGCGCAGGUCCUAAUCCAGGCACUUGUCAUCUCCCGUCUGGAUUACUGCAACUCGCUGUUGGCGGGGCUCCCUACCUGUGCCAUUAAACCCCUACAACUCAUCCAGAACGCCGCAGCCCGUCUGGUGUUCAACCUUCCCAAGUUCUCUCACGUCACCCCGCUCCUCCGCACACUCCACUGGCUUCCAGUUGAAGCUCGCAUCUGCUACAAGACCAUGGUGCUUGCCUACGGAGCUGUGAGGGGAACGGCACCUCCGUACCUUCAGGCUCUGAUCAGUCCCUACACCCAAAGAAGGGCACUGCGUUCAUCCACCUCUGGCCUGCUCGCCUCCCUACCUCUGCAGAAGCACAGUUCCCGCUCAGCCCAGUCAAAACUGUUCGCUGCUCUGGGACCCCAAUGGUGGAACAAGCUCCCUCACGACGCCA